UUUCUUUCGAUUUGAAAAUUCUUCCGUUACAAUGGAACGGUUGAAAGAUGUUUGACUCGACGACGACAAGAAAAACGGAAUACAUUUUCUGUCAUUAAUUCAUUUUAUAAAAGGCCAAUUGUUCCGAGGAGAAAUCGAAGAAAAGCUCUCGGCCAUUUAAAGUGUCGAUUCGAAGAAGAAAAUCUCUUUGACAAUUACAUUAGAAAGGAAAAAGAAGGAAGAUUUCCUCGGAAGCCGAAGACGAUUAACAUUUCGCGAAAUAUCGAAUGGCCCUAGAGUUUGGUAAAAACAUUUUUCGAACCACAAUUUUCGAGGAAAGGUUAGAAAUUAUUGAAGAAUUUGAAAUUAUAAAAACAAUCAAAGCUGUAAAUACGAAAAUGAAAGGAAAGGAUCUUCGUAAAAUACGAUUUCGAACCCGGCUUUAAUUUUGUGGCGUGACGUCUCCAAGAAAGAAUUUCUAAAAUUAUUUUAAUUGUUAUAUAAAAUAAUGUAUGACGUAAUUCUCGUAUCUGAUUUCAUUCCGAACUUUGCUAUUUUCAGAUUCACUUUCAACCAAUAAAGAACGUCUUUCUAGUAGAGAAUUGUUUCCGGAGACACACGAAAACUGCUGAAGGAUGUGUUCGACUUCUGUCGUUAACGAAACACUAAAAUUGAAGCCAGUAUUAGGAAACUACACAAGAAUAUAACAACAAAGAAACCAUCUUUCCCGCAAAUGAAGAAAAAGAGAAAAAUUAAGAAGAUAUUUUAAAUUAUUUUCGAAUAUGUUAUUUUGCAACAUACACUUCACAUAAAUUGUUUUGAAAAAAUGUAUAAAUUACGUUAAUUUGUGAUUGUAAUGUAUUUGUACGUGUUUGGCAAUAUUUGUGAAUACCGGCGUAAGCAGUUUAUGUGUGAUCUAAGGUGUGAUGUGAUGUGAUCCAGUUAAUUGUAAGGUUUAAAUUUUAGUUUAAAGAAAUUUGAUAAAAGGAAGUCUUUUUCUAUCUGCACUCAAAACUUUAACAGUUCUGUAGAAUUAGUACGCUUAAAUUUAGAUAUUUGAUUGAUAAUAAGUUUAAGGGAGUUUUGAUCAUUAGGUUUUAAAAUUUCUCGUAUUUUACAGGUUUAAACCUCCAAAAGAGAAAGAAUGGGAAGAAUCAAUGUGACAGUUGCGAGAAAGAAUUCGCUUCGAAGUGUAAUUUAAAAUAUCAUCAAAGGAUUCACACUGGAGAAGGGCUCUUAUCUUGCAAAUU